GAUGAAGAACGCAGCGAAAUGCGAUAAGUAAUGUGAAUUGCAGAAUUCAGUGAAUCAUCGAAUCUUUGAACGCACAUUGCGCCCCCUGGUAUUCCGGGGGGCAUGCCUGUCCGAGCGUCAUUACAACCCUCAAGCUCAGCUUGGGGUUGGGCCCCGCCGCCCCGGCGGGCCCUAAAGUCAGUGGCGGUGCCGUCCGGCUCCGAGCGUAGUAAUUCUUCUCGCUCUGGAGGUCCGGUCGUGUGCUCGCCAGCAACCCCCAAUUUUUUUCAGGUUGACCUCGGAUCAGGUAGGGAUACCCGCUGAACUUAAGCAUAUCAAUAAGCGGAGGA
rnacentral:misc_RNA from 1 species